UAGACAGGUGACAGCAUGUAGCUGACUUUGACUGGUCUCAGAAGCUAAGCAGAUUUGGUCCUAGUUAGUAGUUGGCUGGGAAUCCCCUGGGAAUUGUAGGAUUAAAAACUAA
rnacentral:rRNA from 1 species